UUAGAUCAUGCAGCAACAAAAUUCAGCAUUGUCAUUGACAAGUUGGACAAGUUAAUUAACUCAUGUCAUUCAAUUAUUGUUGCAUUUGUUUGUGUCAUAGUUUUUCAAGUAGCAGUUGCUUUUCUAGCAAUAGCAGCAAUAGUAAAAACAGUUCCUUUCAGGUGCAGCAUAAAUGGUCAGAAGUCUGAUGUGGUUACACAGGGAAAUAAUGAACAGAUACAUACAGCUGAUUAAGAUUGUUGUGUAAAUGCAUGUUUUAAAUUUGAGUGAAUGAAUAUGCAGGUUUUAAACAAUUUAGCAAAAUAUUGUAAAAUAUCGUUUCUAAUGAACUAAGUAUUAAAAAACCCACUAAGCUGGUGGAUAGACCUAACAGAAGACAGUAUCGCUAGUUUUAAGCGAAAGUAAACAUAACGAAACUUGACUUAUUUGUAAAUUGUAACUUAUAAAAUGUAUGAUUUUGUUCUAAUAUUUCGUUACUGGACGUGAAACU